rnacentral:rRNA from 1 species
AAAUAUUUUGAUGAAUAUUUAUCUAAUAUUAACAUAAUUCAUAUUACUAUAUAUUUUAGUAUAUGAAAUUUUACUUUGAGAAAAUUAGAGUGCUUAAAGCAGGCAUAUGCCUUGAAUACCCCAGCAUGGAAAAUUAUUAAAGAUUUUCCCCUUUCUUAUGGGAACAAAAAAAAAAGAAGGUUUUAAGCGGGGGGUUGGGGGCUUUUGUAUUUACCAGGCAGAGGUGACCUCUUAGAUUUGUUAAAGACAAACUAAUGCGAAAGCAUUUGCCAAGGAUGUUUUCAUUAAUCAAGAACGAAAGUUAGGGGAUCGAAGACGAUCAGAUACCGUCGUAGUCUUAACCAUAAACUAUGCCAACUAGAGAUUGGAGGUUGUUCCUUACUCCUUCCGCACCUUAA